CCCCUAGAUGUUCUGGGCCGCACGCGCGCUACACUGAACAGUUCAACAAGUCUUAACCUUGGCCGAUAGGUCUGGGUAAUCUUUGAACGCUGUUCGUGAUUGGGAUAGACCUUUGCAAUUAUGGGUCUUCAACGAGGAAUUCCUAGUAAACGCAAGUCAUCAGCUUGCAUUGAUUACGUCCCUGCCCUUUGUACACACCGCCCGUCGCACUUACCGAUUGAAUGGUCCGGUGAAAUCUCGGGACGGCGGCUUGGUCGCUUGCGUCCGACUGCUGAAACUUGAUUAAACCAUAUCAUUUAGAGGAAGGUGAAGUCGUANCA
rnacentral:rRNA from 1 species